UACAGAGGUCUCAAGCGUUGUUCGGAUUUACUGGGCGUAAAGGGUGCGUAGGCGGCGGCGUAAGUCGAGUGUGAAAUCUUCCGGCCUAACCGGAAAACUGCACUCGAUACUGCGUCGCUCGAGGACUGUAGAGGAGACUGGAAUUCACGGUGUAGCAGUGAAAUGCGUAGAUAUCGUGAGGAAGACCGGUGGCGAAAGCGAGUCUCUGGGCAGUUCCUGACGCUGAGGCACGAAGGCUAGGGGAGCAAACGGG
rnacentral:rRNA from 1 species